rnacentral:rRNA from 1 species
CCCUUAGAUGUUCGGGGCCGCACGCGCGCUACACUGAAGGAAUCAGCACGUCUUUCUCCUUGUCCGAAAGGACUGGGUAAUCCGCUGAACCUCCUUCGUGCUAGGGAUUGGGGCUUGUAAUUCUUCCCCAUGAACGAGGAAUUCCCAGUAAGCGCGAGUCAUAAGCUCGCGUUGAUUACGUCCCUGCCCUUUGUACACACCGCCCGUCGCUACUACCGAUUGGAUGGUUUAGUGAGAUCCUCGGAUUGGUCCCGGAGCGGCCUCUGGUCGUGCCGGAGUGCCGAAAAGAAUGUCGAACUUGACCAUCUAGAGGAAGUAAAAGUCGUAACA